rnacentral:misc_RNA from 1 species
CUUGCAGAAUUUGUGCACAUCUCAGUCGCCCUCUACCCACCGCCGCGCGUUGUCCUCGCACCACGUACACGUGUGUUUCUCUCCUCUCAAUCCCUGUUGUCUGUCGGUAUUCCACGCCAUGUCGUACCGGUCGAGCGAGGCGAAGAAGGAGGAGUUCCGGAAGUACCUGGAAUCCACGCAGGUAGUCGACGCCCUCACCCGCGUCCUGGUCAACCUGUACGAAGAGGAAGAGAAACCCGAGGACCCAGUGGACUACAUCAAGCGGGUUCUUGGUGGUGCUUCUUCGGCCGACUACGAAGCACUGCAGCAAGAAAACGCGCGUCUCCGCGCAGAGGUGGAAUCGCUGAAGAAGCAACUCAGUGGACAGGCGCAGUAACGUGCCGCCGUGUCAUCCUCUCAAGCGAGGCGUUGUAGCGUCUGUUCGUGCGUGAGCGCCCUCUUUCCCUCUUCUCCAUUUUCCUUCCCCGUGCCCCUCCUGUUCAUCCGUAGGUGACAUGUACAUAAAUUGAAAAGGAAAAAAGGGCACGUCUCUCAAUGGUCCGCGUCACAGAGUGGAUGCAUGCCAUCCCUGUGGUAUAUGCGUGCUGGCUGAUUUUGAACUUCAGCACACGUAGAGACCCUCCGGAGCAGCGUUCCAGGGAGACUCUGCCGCGCCCGGCAUUGUCCUUUUCAUCUGUGGCAGCACAUCCUUCUCUUCGUCGAUUCUUGUGCAGCUGUGGUUGCGAUUUUCGUGAUGCCGUCCGUUCCAAGGUCGUGACCUCUCGUUGCCUCCGCUUGACUCUCUGGGCUUUCGAAUCUCAUCGUCUACCUCUUCUUCUUCGCAUUUCUCGACCGCACACUUUUCCUUGGCCUUGUCGUCUACAG